rnacentral:rRNA from 1 species
UACCAGCUCCUCGAGUGGUCAGGGCGUUUAUUGGGCCUAAAGCAUCCGUAGCCGGCUCAGUAGGUCUUCUGUUAAAUCCAACGGCUCAACCGUUGACUUGCAGGAGAUACCACUGGGCUAGGAGGCGGGAGAGGCGGACGGUACUCCGAGGGUAGGGGUAAAAUCCUUUGAUCCCCGGAAGACCACCAGUGGCGAGGGCGGUCCGCCAGAACGCGCUCGACGGUGAGGGAUGAAAGCUGGGGGAG